CAUGCGUGUGUGUGUGUGUUUUUGUAUCUCUAACUGCGACACUUUUCAGGAGAAAUAAAAGUUGAACAUCAGCUUUAACGCUGUAAUCAAGCGUGGGCCUUUCUUCUGGCGCAGGACGUUUUAAAUUAACAUCUCUCAGUGAGGAGGAAUUGCUCUCGCCUUUGUGAGAGAGGAAAGAUAAUCUCAGCUGGUGGCAACGUGCCCAAAGUUAGGCUUCGUGGGAAGUCCAGACUCCCUUCCCCGACAUCUGCCAGCGAGUGCCUUCAACGACACCUCACUGUCUCCAGCAAACCUCUUCCAAGAACACAGCAAGAAAUAUAUCUGCAUUUGUUACUUGAAGGACUUAUUUGUACCUGAUGUGAGACUGAUCGCUGUUUUUAUUGGCAUAACAGCUUGUAUUCAGAAUUCUCACGAUAAAGGGGAAAACCUGGAAAUAUCACUUAUUUUAAGUGCUCUGGUCUGGAAUGAGUCAUUCACAAUGGAAAAACAAUCAAACACAUCCUUUUUUUUAAAUCUACCCACCCAGGCUCCAUCUGAAAAUGUACCCCUAUAUACAUUUCUGGGGAGUGCCAAAUACAUACCAGGAGAAAUCCACCAGGGGCUGCUGUUGACUGACUGACCGAUCAACUGACCCGCCCUCCUCCUUCCCUAACCCCAACCGAUAGUGUUUUCAAAAACAUCGAUUGACCCGACUGAUCGAUUGAUCAGCUCAAAAGUGCGAAAAGGAACUGAGUCAUACCACCCUGAAGUGUUAAUUUUAAGGGCAAAAUGCAGCCAUACAUACUUCUGGCUACAUCAUAUGCGACCUCCAGAAAUCUAUAUAGGUAUAAGUUUUCAGAAUGAGGCAAUGUUGGUGUCUACAGAUCCAAGGGAAAGGGAAAGUCCUUCCAAAAAUUAAAAUAACGUAUUCCUAAGAAUGCUAGGCCUUUUCGCACUUUCCAGCAGACCGCUAAGCUCCAUAUGGACGGCUUUCCCGUUGUUACCAGUUUGUCCAGUGGCUCACCUCAUACGUCGGAAGAUUUGAAACGCAGAGACGAGCUGACUACAACAACGAGGGUCGAAUUCAGUGAGGAACAGUUCCAGAAAGCAGAUAAGCCAAAAACAGAAGCCAAAAAAUAAAAUAAAUAAGUAAAUAACAGGGUGAGAAUCUGGUAAAAUCUGAAAAUGUUGUUUGUUUGUUGUGUAUUGUUAGCGUAAAUCAAUACAUUUUGAAAAUAUUGCAACACAGGCUAAUUGUGGAUAUGAACCCCUGACUUCAUUUCUGGACAGCGAAAAUUAUGUAGUCAGAAGUACGUAUACCUGCAUUUCGUCUUUAAAACAAACGCAACAGGGCAAUAUGAUGCCGUAGAUGGCUUCUGCUUCUUUUAGUGCUACAAGCUGACCACUUAUCUCCAUACGGACAGAUUUUUAUAGUGUUACCAGUUUGCCCAGUAGCUCGCCACAUAUGUUGGCAGACUUGGCACAUGGAGCGGAGUUGACUGCAAUGACGAAGUUUGAGUCUGGUGAAGAACGGUUCCUGAAACCAGGUAAAACAAAAGCAAAAAUAUAAAGAAAGAAAUAAGCUAAAAAUGUGGUGAAAUCACACGGUCGCAGUGGCUUUUCUUUUCUAUUGAAAACACCAUUGGUUCAGGGAUGGGUGUGGGAGGGUCAGUCGGUUGGUUAGUUGACCGCAAGCUGUCCUUGCUGGCUGAAGUGUAUAUUGUCUGAAGUGUAUAAGAAGAGGACGCAUGAGACAAAUGUAGGAUCAACAAAAAACAAACACAGCGGCCUCUGGUGGAUUUGCGAAAACAAAAACUGCGUGCAGAUGUACCUCUGCUCACUUAUUUUGCUGUCCACAGAAAUGCAGACCUGGGUACAUAUCUACAAUGAGCCUGAGUUUAUUUAUUUAUUUAUUGCUUGAAUGAUUGAUUGAUCAAUCAUUUCAGUGCUCAUAUAUUCUUGUGUACAUCUGAAUAUGUAAUAGAUAGGAAUCCAUCAUUUUAUUCAUUUAAAUUUGCAUUUUAAAAGAUCAUAAUCCAACCCAGGCUCAUUCUGAA